GACUGAUGCCCGGUGAGAAGGUGAACGUGACAUAUGCCCUCGUCAGCUGCAAGAAAGGAACUUGGAGACAGGUAAUUAAUAUUUAUAUUAAUUACUGAUAACGAUCAGGCUAGAUAUCAAAUCUAGACCUGCAGAGAUGUCAUAGUCUCUCCCUUAUACAUGAAGAUAUAUGUGUUGUUAAUAAGUAUAUCGUCUAUAGACAGCUUCUUAUAUAACACAGCCAUAUCUCAGGUACAGAGAUUAGGAACAUGUAUGAUCCUUAUUCUCUAUUUUUUUAUUUGUAGGAAUCCCCUUUAUCAAUGUUUAAUAGAAUAGACUGAACUGUCUGCAGUGUUUACAAUUUCACUUUAGACUGUUGGGUGACUGACCGCAAAUUUAAGACUUAACUGUACUAAGUAAAGAAAAAUCAAUAUUUUUUUUUGCUUCAAAUAUAUAAUUAUAGCCAAAAACAUUAGCCAUAAUAAGUCAUAGCCUUUUAACCUAAUUCUGAAGGGCAUAAUACACUGCACUUUAAUACUAAUGCAGUAUGUUAUAUGAGUGAUCUAAAGAUCGCUAUUAAAAGUCCCCUUUAUAAAACACUUAAAGGCUAGGUUCACACUAAGGAAUUUCCAGCCGAAAUAAUUAUUGCCGGAGGUUCCACGAAUGCAUUGCCCUCCCCAUAGAUGGCAAUGUAUUCUGUAUGGAUCCUAGCUAAAAAAUAAGUUAAAAAUAGAUACUGUCAUACUACUGCAGUCUAUUAAUAUAUGAGCUAUCGAAAGAUGGCUGCUUUAUGUACCUUAAUGGGAAUAGUUAAAAACUAAAAGAAGAAAAUUAAAGCUAAUAAAAUAUACGAAAAACUAUAGCUCCGCCUUAACAAAAAUAUCCCUUUAAAAAAAUUGUCUCAAAUAAAAAAUGAAAUUAAAAAAUAAAUAUAUGAAAAAUCCCCAAAAAACUUUAUAACCCCAUAAAAAAUACCCUAACGAUAACAACAACCAUACACUGUCUGCCAGCAUAAUGCUGAGAGGCAGAAUACACUGCACUACAAUAGUGGUGCAGUGUUUCAUAGAAACUAUCAGAUCAGGAAUGACAGGUCAUUCUCGUAUGGGAAAAACAAAAAUAGAAAGGCAGAAAUGCUAUGAAAAACAUAAAUAAAUAAGAAGUAGAUAAAUAAAUAAAACUGAUUUGGACUAGUUUAAAAAGUACAAAAAAUUAGGAAACGGUCGAUAAAAUAAUAAAAAAUUAUCGGAAUAGUUAGAGAGUUAAAGGGGUACUUCACAGCUCAGCGUUUGGAACAAACUGUUCCGAACGCUGGAGCCGACGUCAGGAGCUGUUGACAUCAUAGCUCCGCCCCUCAUGACAUCACGUCCUGCCCCCUCAAUGCAAGUCUGUGGGAGGGGGUGUGACGGCUCUACCCAUUUAAAAAUAAAAAUAAAUGCUUGAUAAAAUUAUUUUAAAAAUAAUUUGUUGUAUCAAAAAUAAAAUUCAGAAAAAGAAAAGAAAAUAUUUAAAAAAAUCCCAAAAAUGUUAUAAAUAAACCCCCAAAAAAUCUACAAUAGCUACAAACUUAGCAUAAAAAUAUUAAAAAAUAUUAAAAAAUACAUAAAAAUGCCCCAAAAAAUUUGGAACCCCAUAGAAAAUACCCUAACGAUAACCAUAACCAUACACUGUCUGUCAGCAUAAUGCUGAUAGGCAUAAUACACUGCACUACAAUAGUGGUGCAGUGUUUCAAAGAAAGGAUCAGAUCAGGAGUGAAAGGUCGUUCUCGUAUGGGAAAAAUAAAAAUAGAAACCCAGAAAUGUUAUGAAAAAAAUAACAAUAAAUAAGAAGUAAAUAAAUAAAUAAAACUGAUUAGGACUAGUUUAAAAAGUAUAAAAAAUUUAGAAACGGUCGAUAAAAUAAGUUAAAAAAAUAGCGGAAUAGUUACAGAGUUGAAGGGGUACUCCACAGCUCAGAGUUUGGAACAAACUGUUCCGAAAACUGGAGACGGCGUCAGGAGCUCUUGAUGUCAUGGCCCCGCCUUCUCAUGACGUUACACCUAACCCCCUCAAAUCAAGUCUAUGGGAGGGGGUGUAUCCCUUUAAAAAAAAAAAAUUAAUGGUUGAUAAAAUUCUUUUAAAAAAAAAACAUCAACCCGCCCCACAAAAACAUCCCUUAAAAAAUAAGCUUUUGGAAAAAAAAAACUACAAUUCAGAAUAAAGAAAAGAACAUUUAAAAAAAAAGCACCAAAAUUUUUAUAAAUAAACCCCAAAAAAAAUCUACAAUAGAUACACACAUAACAUUAAUGUGAGAGGCAUAAAUUAUUUUAUAAAAUAAUACAACCCCUCCCCCCUUUCAAAAUUAAAAGGCAUACAUUCCCGUUGUAUGAUUAACUGUUGAAUAUAAUAUAAAAAUUUUAGAUAAAAUAUUUAUUAAAACAAAAUAUCAAAAAUAUACAUUAUAUUUUAAUUAAAAAAACACCUAGAUCCCAAUGUGUUCCAACUUUUUUUGUUCCUUUUUGUUAUGCGGUUUCAUAAUGCCUGAGAUAAGUAGUUCUGGCCCGAGAAUGUUAUAUAUAUUAGCGUCUGUAGCAUGUAUCAGGAACAUGUUAUCAUACCUGUGUCUUUUUACAGGUGACUGAUGCCCGGUGAGAAGGUGAACGUGACAUAUGCCCUCGUCAGCUGCAAGAAAGGAACUUGGAGACAGGUGACUGAUGCCCGGUGAGAAGGUGAACGUGACAUAUGCCCUCGUCAGCUGCAAGAAAGGAACUUGGAGACAGGUGACUGAUGCCCGGUGAGAAGGUGUACGUGACAUAUGCCCUCGUCAGCUGCAAGAAAGGAACUUGGAGACAGGUAAUUAAUAUUUAUAUUAAUUACUGAUAACGAUCAGGCUAGAUAUCAAAUCUAGACCUGCAGAGAUGUCAUAGUCUCUCCCUUAUACAUGAAGAUAUAUGUGUUGUUAAUAAGUAUAUCGUCUAUAGACAGCUUCUUAUAUAACACAGCCAUAUCUCAGGUACAGAGAUUAGGAACAUGUAUGAUCCUUAUUCUCAAUUUUUCUAUUUGUAGGAAUCCCCUUUAUCAAUGUUUAAUAGAAUAGACUGAACUGUCUGCAGUGUUUACAAUUUCACUUUAGACUGUUGGGUGACUGACCGCAAAUUUAAGACUUAACUGUACUAAGUAAAGAAAAAUCAAUAUUUUUUUUGCUUCAAAUAUAUAAUUAUAGCCAAAGACAUUAGCCAUAAUAAGUCAUAGCCUUUUAACCUAAUUCUGAAGGGCAUAAUACACUGCACUUUAAUACUAAUGCAGUAUGUUAUAUGAGUGAUCUAAAGAUCGCUAUUAAAAGUCCCCUUUAUAAAACACUUAAAGGCUAGGUUCACACUAAGGAAUUUCCAGCCGGAAUAAUUAAUGCCGGAGGUUCCACGGGUGCAUUGCCCUCCCCAUAGAUGGCAAUGUAUUCUGUAUGGAUCCUAGCUAAAAAAUAAGUUAAAAAUAGAUACUGUCAUACUACUGCAGUCUAUUAAUAUAUGAGCUAUCGAAAGAUGGCUGCUUUAUGUACCUUAAUGGGAAUAGUUCAAAACUAAAAGAAGAAAAACAAGGCUAAUAAAAUAUAAAAAAAAAAAACUUUAGCUCCGCCUUAAGAAAAACAUCCCUUAAAAAAAUUGUAUCAAAUAUAAAAUGAAAUUAAAAAAUAAAUAUAUGAAAAAUCCCCAAAAAACUUUAUAACCCCAUAAAAAAUACCCUAACGAUAACAACAACCAUACACUGUCUGUCAGCAUAAUGCUGAGAGGCAGAAUACACUGCACUACAAUAGUGGUGCAGUGUUUCAUAGAAACUAUCAGAUCAGGAAUGACAGGUCAUUCUAUUAUGGGAAAAACAAAAAUAGAAAGGCAGAAAUGCUAUGAAAAACAUAAAUAAAUAAGAAGUAGAUAAAUAAAUAAAACUGAUUUGGACUAGUUUAAAAAGUACAAAAAAUUAGGAAACGGUCGAUAAAAUAAUAAAAAAAUUAUCGGAAUAGUUAGAGAGUUAAAGGGGUACUUCACAGCUCAGCGUUUGGAACAAACUGUUCCGAACGCUGGAGCCGGCGUCAGGAGCUGUUGACAUCAUAGCUCCGCCCCUCAUGACAUCACGCCCUGCCCCCUCAAUGCAAGUCUGUGGGAGGGGGUGUGACGGCUCUACCCAUUUAAAAAUAAAAAUAAAUGCUUGAUAAAAUUAUUUAAAAAAUAAUUUGUUGUAUCAAAAAUAAAAUUCAGAAAAAAGAAAAGUAAAUAUUUAAAAAAUCCCAAAAAUGUUAUAAAUAAACCCCCAAAAAAUCUACAAUAGCUACAAACUUACCAUAAAAAUAUUAAAAAAUAUAAAAAAAAUACAUAAAAAUGGCCAAAAAAAUUUGGAACCCCAUAGAAAAUACCCUAAUGAUAACCAUAACCAUACACUGUCUGUCAGCAUAAUGCUGAUAGGCAUAAUACACUGCACUACAAUAGUGGUGCAGUGUUUCAAAGAAAGGAUCAGAUCAGGAGUGAAAGGUCGUUCUCGUAUGGGAAAAAUAAAAAUAGAAACCCAGAAAUGUUAUGAAAAAAAUAACAAUAAAUAAGAAGUAAAUAAAUAAAUAAAACUGAUUAGGACUAGUUUAAAAAGUAUAAAAAAUUUAGAAACGGUCGAUAAAAUAAUUUAAAAAAUAGCGGAAUAGUUACAGAGUUGAAGGGGUACUCCACAGCUCAGAGUUUGGAACAAACUGUUCCGAAAACUGGAGACGGCGUCAGGAGCUCUUGACGUCAUGGCCCCGCCUCCUCAUGACAUUACACCCUGCCCCCUCAAAUGAAGUCUAUGGGAGGGGGUGUAUCCCUUUAAAAAUAAAAAAUUAAUGGUUGAUAAAAUUCUUUUUUUUAAAAAACAUCAACCCGCCCCACAAAAACAUCCCUUAAAAAAUAAGUUGUUGGAAAAAAAAAACUACAAUUCAGAAUAAAGAAAAGAACAUUUAAAAAAAAGCACCAAAAUUUUAUAAAUAACCCCCAAAAAAAUCUACAAUAGAUACACACACAGCAUUAAUGUGAGAGGCAUAAAUUAUUUUAUAAAAUAAUACAACCCUUCCCCCCUUUCAAAAUUAAAAGGCAUACAUUCCCGUUGUAUGAUUAACUGUUGAAUAUAAUAUAACAUUUUUCGAUAAAAUAUUUAUUAAAAUAAAAAAUAUCAAAAAUAUACAGUAUAUUUUAAUUUAAAAAAAAACCUAGAUCCCAAUGUGUUCCAACUUUUUUUGUUCCUUUUUGUUAUGCGGUUUCAUAAUGCCUGAGAUAAGUAGUUCUGGCCCGAGAAUGUUAUAUAUAUUAGCGUCUGUAGCAUGUAUCAGGAACAUGUUAUCAUACCUGUGUCUUUUUACAGGUGACUGAUGCCCGGUGAGAAGGUGAACGUGACAUAUGCCCUCGUCAGCUGCAAGAAAGGAACUUGGAGACAGGUAAUUAAUAUUUAUAUUAAUUACUGAUAACGAUCAGGCUAGAUAUCAAAUCUAGACCUGCAGAGAUGUCAUAGUCUCUCCCUUAUACAUGAAGAUAUAUGUGUUGUUAAUAAGUAUAUCGUCUAUAGACAGCUUCUUAUAUAACACAGCCAUAUCUCAGGAACAGAGAUUAGGAACAUGUAUGAUCCUUAUUCUCUAAUUUUUUAUUUGUAGGAAUCCCCUUUUUCAAUAUUUAAUAGAAUAGACUGAACUGUCUGCAGUGUUUACAAUUUCACUUUAGACUGUUGGGUGACUGACCGCAAAUUUAAGACUUAACUGUACUAAGUAAAGAAAAAUCAAUAUUUUUUUUUGCUUCAAAUAUAUUAUUAUAGCCAAAGACAUUAGCCAUAAUAAGUCAUAGCCUUUUAACCUAAUUAUGAAGGGCAUGAUACACUGCACUUUAAUACUAAUGCAGUAUGUUAUAUGAGUGAUCUAAAGAUCGCUAUUAAAAGUCCCCUUUAUAAAACACUUAAAGGCUAGGUUCACACUAAGGAAUUUCCAGCCGGAAUAAUUAUUGCCGGAGGUUCCACGGGUGCAUUGCCCUCCCCAUAGAUGGCAAUGUAUUCUGUAUGGAUCCUAGCUAAAAAAUAAGUUAAAAAUAGAUACUGUCAUACUACUGCAGUCUAUUAAUAUAUGAGCUAUCGAAAGAUGGCUGCUUUAUGUACCUUAAUGGGAAUAGUUCAAAACUAAAAGAAGAAAAACAAGGCUAAUAAAAUAUAAAAAAAACUAUAGCUCCGCCUUAACAAAAACAUCCCUUUAAAAAAAUUGUAUCAAAUAUAAAAUGAAAUUAAAAAAUAAAUAUAUGAAAAAUCCCCAAAAAACUUUAUAACCCCAUAAAAAAUACUCUAACGAUAACAACAACCAUACACUAUCUGUCAGCAUAAUGCUGAGAGGCAGAAUACACUGCACUACAAUAGUGGUGCAGUGUUUCAUAGAAACUAUCAGAUCAGGAAUGACAGGUCAUUCUCGUAUGGGAAAAACAAAAAUAGAAAGGCAGAAAUGCUAUGAAAAACAUAAAUAAAUAAGAAGUAGAUAAAUAAAUAAAACUGAUUUGGACUAGUUUAAAAAGUACAAAAAAUUAGGAAACGGUCGAUAAAAUAAUAAAAAAUUAUCGGAAUAGUUAGAGAG